rnacentral:rRNA from 1 species
CCCUUCGGGGUGCCCAGGCGCGAAAACUUUACAAUGCUGGCAACAGCGAUAAGGGGACCUCGAGUGCCAGGAUACAAUCUUGGCUGUCGCGAUGCCUAAAAAGCAUUGCAUAGCAAGGGCCGGGCAAGACCGGUGCCAGCCGCCGCGGUAACACCGGCGGCUCGAGUGGUAACCGCUAUUAUUGGGUCUAAAGGGUCUGUAGCCGGCCGGAUAAGUCUUUUGGGAAAUCCAGCUGCUCAACAGUUGGGCUUUCAGAAGAUACUGUUCGGCUCGAGACCGGGAGAGGUGAGAGGUACUUCAGGGGUAGGGGUGAAAUCUUGUAAUCCUUGAAGGACCACCAGUGGCGAAGGCGUCUCACCAGAACGGAUCUGACGGCAAGGGACGAAAGCUAGGGGCACGAACCGGAUUAGAUACCCGGGUAGUCCUAGCCGUAAACGAUACUCGCUAGGUGUCAGCCACGGUGCGACCGUGGUUGGUGCCGUAGGGAAGCCGUGAAGCGAGCCACCUGGGAAGUACGGCCGCAAGGCUGAAACUUAAAGGAAUUGGCGGGGGAGCAC